rnacentral:rRNA from 1 species
AUUGAACGCUGGCGGCAGGCCUAACACAUGCAAGUCGAGCGAGCGGCGGACGGGUGCGUACUGUAUGGGGACUGCCCGAUAGAGGGGGAUAACUACUGGAAACCGUAGCUAAUCCCGCAUACAAUCCGAUACCCCAUAUGGGAUUAGCUAGUAGGUGAGGUAAUGGCUCACCUAGGCGACGAUCCCUAGCUGGUCUGAGAGGAUGAUCAGCAACACUGGGACUGAGACACGGCCCAGACUCCUACGGAGGCAGCAGUGGGGAAUAUUGCACAAUGGGCGAAAGCCUGAUGCAGCCAUGCCGCGUGUAUGAAGAAGGCCCUAGGGUUGUAAAGUACUUUCAGUCGGGAGGCGUUACCGACAGAAGAAGCACCGGCUAACUCCGUGCCAGCAGCCGCGGUAAUAC